AUUAUUUUCAAGUGAUAAUACCAUUUAUCAAUUAAAUUAUAAUGCAGCGCCCUAAUAUGGAUCCUCGCUUACCAGGUGCCCCAGUACAAUCCGGUGGCUUCCCUUCAAGACCUAACCCCUGUUUCGGACCUAGGCAACACCCUCUAUCACCUUGCUUCGGACCCUCUGCGGCACCGGCGAGGCAACCCUUCGCAUCCAACCCUUGCCUCGCCCCUGCACCGACACUCCGCAAACCGAAUCAAGAACCCGGUUUACCACCGCGAUACGGGCCCUGUUUCUAAAACUAUUAUAAAACUUAAUUAUUAUUGUAAUUAGGAAUCUCGACUUGUCUCGUCCGUCUCGGUCGUUUUGUAAAUUCUACCAUGUGAGCUUAAAGUUUAAAUAAAUAUUUGUUAAUAAAUAUUUUAACCGACUUCAAAAAAGGAGUAGGUUCUCA